UCUUGUACUUUGAAAUUAUAAGGAUAAGUGUCUAUCAUAAUUAUAGUGCUAUCUUUUCUGUUUCCUCUUUGCAGGUAUGAAUAUAGAAUGAUGAUAUUUAAUGAUAACUGGUGGGACAAAGAAUAUUGACUCUUCUGCUCAAUAUUUGUCUAACCACUGUAGAAAGAGAAUCCAGCUACUAAUAUGGUAGUUCUCGUCCACAUCUAGUUAUCAGUGUACUUAGCCUGUUGAAGUUUAACCUGUCAUCAAGAAAACAAUGAAAUCAACCUCAAUAUGCCAGAAUGUAAAGCUUUGGUGAGCUUCAUCAUCAGACAUGCUGAACUGACCUGCUUUAACUUGUGAUCUCAGGGACUUUCAGCCGAAUCCAGUCAGAACACAGACAUCAGAGACUACAACAAUCAUUAACGUGGCCUUCUUAAGGCCAAACAACUACCCUAUUUCCCCUACAGUUCCCCUCAAUGAUAUCUCAAUGCCCUAACACUAAUCCCAACCCUAACCCUAACCCUAGCCCUAGCCCUAGCCCUAGCCCUAGCCCUAACUCUAUAGCUGGAAAUAGGUAUGAAGAGUCGUCACCUGGACUUGUGCAUCUGGAUUUGGUUAUUCUAAGUUGUCUCUCUGGGAAAUCUAGAAAUGGUCAUAAUUUGAAAAAGGAGGAAAUAGCUAGAGUUGAUUGUGCAGUCCUAAUCUCAUUUGGUAAGAAAUCUUUAUAAUAGUUACUAAGUUGAAGUCAUAAUAUCUUACUUUGGUACAGAAUUUAUUUUGAUAGAAAUUUAAGGUUUUCAUUGGUACAAAUUUCUUAUUGAUAUAAAAUUGGGGCUAAUAUUCUAAUUCUUAUAAUAGGCAUUGUGACCAUACAACACACUUAAAAAUACAAGGCUUGGAUUCAGUCCUUCUUUAACGGUUAUUACAAACUGUUUCUUAUAUGAUGAGACAGUAUGAGUUAAGGACCAGAUAUCAAAUUCUUGGCUCUGAGUUAAUUGCUAGGGAGCUUGCUAGAUAUUUUAUUUAUAAAUAGCUGAGAGUCAUUGCAGAGUACUUUACAUUGAUAGAUAGUUCUCAAAAAUAUCAGAAAUCUACAGAAUGUGACAAUUAAUGUUAAUGUAUUCACUUGUCAAUGAGACAUAUCUGCUCAUAUGAGCUCCCCAUUCAUGGGUUCAAUGAAGCAGGUGAGCAACUCUACCUCCAGGUGAGGUACAUUAUGGCUAGGUGACCACUGGGCAGGAAUUGCCUAUUUUUCUUACAGAUCUGUACCCUCUUGAGAGGACACAGGUUACAGGUUAGGACAGCUUAGUUCUGCCAAGAGAGAAUAAGCCCGUCCUUAAUAAUUCCUGUUCUUCAAGAUUUGUCAGAUAUCUUGGGCCAGAAGGCUAAAGACUGAUGCUCCAGCUUCCUGACAUACUGGGGCUGUAUAGGUAGGCAGCUAGCUGUCUCUAGAGUUUGUCUCAGCUCUGUAAGCUCUUAGGCUUUCUAUAUUUUCAGAUAGUACUGGUCAUUCUCAGAUUUCUGAUGGGGUUCAAAGACUAGUUAUAGUCUUAUAGGUAACCCAGGCUAUUUAGCAUUGAGAGAAUAUAUUAAGAGGAUAGUGUUCACAUAGUAUAUGAGCUAACCAAGACAUAACCCAUUAAGCCUUUCUUAAGUUAUGAUAGAUAGCAGAGUGUUCUAGUUAGCUGACAAAAAUGAUGGACUGAGUGUUAUAUUCAGGUAUAUUUUCUACUUUAUAAAUAACAAGAUGGUAAUAGUUGUGCUCAAUUCAUAUCUGAGAAAAGAUCCUUUUAAUUGGACAGAAGUGGGAAGUGUUGUGAAUGGCCCUGGUGUUGUUAAUAUUUUGAUGCUAAUUCUGCUUCCCCAAGAGAUGCUGCCUGGGCUGAGGAGUAAAUCACAUACUCGGGUGAAUUCCCGUGAACUUUCCCCUAAUGAAUAAAGAUUUCUAGGAACCAAUCAUUGGUCGAGGAGUAGGCAGGACUUCUGGGUUGGAGAGGAGAAGAGACAGGAAAAGUGACUUGUUUUUGGACAGACAGAAAGAGCUAGGAGGACAAUGUAGCUAGCAAGAGACCCCCAGUUUAGAUGGCGGAUCCACCAGGAUUCACCACCAGAAGAGUUCUAUUUAAUAGAGCAUACAAAAUUAGGAUGCUAGUUGCUAUGCCCAACAAUUGUGUUACCUGUUGAUUCUAAGCUAAGUUUGUGCGGUGUUGUAACUCAACUGGGUUCCAGAGAGAAAGGUAUGGUGGCAAGGCUUGGGAUUGGAAGAAGUACACCCCAAAAAGAAGUUGGCAUUUGGAAGCAAGGGGCCGAUGUGGCAGUGACCUGCCAUGGGAACUUAGCAAGCCAGGUGGAAAGGUUUGGUAGCUCAGGAUCAGAGAGUCUGCUGGGCUCUCAGGCCAGGUCAGCCUGCCUGCCAGUGCCUUGCCAGCAGUAGCAUGGGAUUCUCAGGGUCAGAGAGUUUGUGAAAUGAGAACAGGCUGGCCUGCUCACAAAUGCCUUGCUAGUGGUUGCAUGGAUACUUAUUUAAUAUUCCACAGCACAAUAAACCUCCAAGAGUAUCUUCAUGUCUCAAAAAUUUCUCAAGUGUGCGAUUGUUACUUUAUAUAAUUUUUUUAAAAAAGAAAUGAAUUCAUUUUUUUAAACAGAUAAGUAGUGACAGAGUUAUAUGUCUUCUUGCAGAGUAGACAAAUAGUAAAAGAGUGUUGAUUUUGAGAUACUAUAUAAUAUAAUAUAUUAUACUGUAUAUUAAUAUAAUGAAAGAACCAUACAUGUUUGUUGUCGCACUGUGGAUAGCUGAAGCUUUUACUACUAAAAACGCCCAUGGUUUCACAGUGUCUGAGUUUGGUGAGCUUCCUAGUUAUUUCAGCGACGUACAUUACAAGGAGCUUGGGGAUCAUGGUUUAUUUCUAUCUUCUGUCAUCCACCUGAAAAGCUCUAUCUUGAGAUAUAAACCUGCUGUUCGGUUUGAAAGUAGUUGGCCAGCUACUACUGAAGUAUCCUCUAAAAUCUACCUGGUAACUGUACUCACUCACAGUCCUCAGAAGCUUGUAGGAUACAUACAAACAACUCUCUAAUGAGUUUUAGGUAUUUUGAACUCUUCAGGAAAAAAAAGUGCUACAACCAUUUUCCCAUUACCCUUGUAGCAACCAAUUGAACCUAUGUACCCUCUCUUGGCUCUAUAAAAUAGCUUUGAAAAAUAAUUUAAUGGCUUGAUCAAAAACGUUCUCAAAUACAGAUAGGAUACAACCCAUCUGGUCCACUGUUGAAAUCCCAGGGACUUUGCAGGCUUGCCUGAGUAAGUUUACCUGAGAAGGCUAUCGCAAAAUAGUUUGUUAAUCUAGCAAUCUUUUUUCAAUUCCCAAAGUGUUUAGCAGCUUAUUAUCAGCAGGGUAGCCCAGUAAAGCUCGGUUAAGUAACCGAUAAGAUGUAUCCACAUACUCUGUACUGCAGGAAGCAGGACAUUUGCUCACAAAUCUUUAUAAAUUUGCCCUUGGAUACUAACAAGUAGUUGUAAUCAGGUCCAAUCCACUAAUACUCAGACCUAAUAGAUCUCCAACACGAAAAACUCAUCCAUCAAUAAAGUAAAUUCUAUCAUUAGCAAUAUAAGAAUCAAAAGAAAGAUC